AAAGAAAUAAUAAAAAAAAAGCUUCUAACUUUUACUAGAGCAUCAGAUUGUUCAUAUUUCUUGACUGGCAAUAAAUUACCAGUCAAGAAAUAUGAACUAACUAUUUAU
rnacentral:tRNA from 1 species